GUCUAACUUUCGAGUCCCAAAUAGAACGAAACACACGUCCUAGAC
rnacentral:hammerhead_ribozyme from 1 species